rnacentral:rRNA from 1 species
ACGGGUGAGUAACACGUAGGAACCUGCCCAGAAGUGGGGGAUAACUAAUGGAAACGUUAGCUAAUACCGCAUACAUUCGGGAGAAGAAAGCUGCCGCAAGGUGGCGCUUUUGGAGGGGCCUGCGUCCGAUUAGCUAGUUGGUGAGGUAAUAGCUUACCAAGGCGAUGAUCGGUAACUGGUCUGAGAGGACGACCAGUCACACUGGGACUGAGACACGGCCCAGACUCCUACGGGAGGCAGCAGUGGGGAAUCUUGGACAAUGGGGGCAACCCUGAUCCAGCGAUGCCGCGUGAGUGAAGAAGGCCCUCGGGUCGUAAAGCUCUUUAGGCUGGGAAGAAGGUUAUGUGAGGAAAUACAUGUAAUUUGACUGUACCAGCAGAAUAAGCACCGGCAAACUCUGUGCCAGCAGCCGCGGUAAUACAGAGGGUGCGAGCGUUAAUCGGAGUAACUGGGCGUAAAGGGCGCGUAGGCGGUUUAGUGAGUGUGGUGUGAAAGCCCCGGGCUUAACCUGGGAAGUGCAUCGCAAACGACUAGACUAGAGUAGAUGAGAGGGUGAUGGAAUUUCCGGUGUAGCGGUGA